AGAUAAUUAAUUGUUUCUCAGAAAGAAGAAUGAAUUGAAGAAUAUACAAUAUAUGGUAUACAGUGAGAUAUAUGAUAUUUACAAAUGAUGAGGCCGAGAUAGAUGCUACACCCAUACACAAAGGAAUAAAGUUAAUAAUCAAUUCCCAAAUGGAAGAUGGAGAUUUUCCACAGCCGGACGCAACAGGAGUGUUUUUCAGAGAAACCGUCAUAAACUAUGCAUCACAUCGUAACAUACCUAUAUGGGCUCAUGGAGAGUAUCGAAGCAGAGUGUUGCAUGCAUCAUAAUGUAAGCAUAAUUCAUAAGAAUAUUUUCAAUUUUCUCUUAUUGAUUCCAUAGUCAAUUUACAAAUGGUAAACAUGUAUCAGUUAUAAUGUAAACCUUGUAUUUGAUUAUUUCCAAUGUCCAAUGUAAUAUUAGUUCUUA